AAAAGUAAAUAAAUAAAUAAUAUAGUUGUUGAAUAAAUAGCAUACUUUGGUGAAUAAGUGUGUGAAUCCAUAAGGUGUGAUGGUCAUGUUAAUGGUUGACUAAUCUAAUCAUCUUGUGGAUAUGAUAUGGUAGUUUGACUCUGACAAGCUAGGUAGGAGCUUGGAAAUGAACGGGUCAAAUGGAUACAAGUUCAAGUAUGAAGCUCGCAAGGAUGCAAGGAGUAGAUAUCCAAUGGAUACUCGCAUUGCUCUUAAUUAGCAAUUAUAAAGCAAGGUAUUAAACCGGGUACAUUUUGGAUGCUGGAAGAUGAUCAAGCUCAUUGGAGAACCGAACACGAUAAAGAUACAUGCUUCCGCACAGUGUCCCGUUGUAAAUUUUAAACGACGAAUUCAAUUACGUUAUGUCGAAUAACUUAUGAUUUGUAAAAGUUUUAAUAAACCCAUAUUUUUAUAGUAUGUGUAGUCUUAUCUACACAACUAAUUGUUGGUAAUUAUAUGUAAAACCGUUAAAUAGUAA